rnacentral:rRNA from 1 species
UACGUAGGGGGCUAGCGUUGUCCGGAAUCAUUGGGCGUAAAGCGCGUGUAGGCGGUCCGGUAAGUCCGCUGUGAAAGUCGGGGGCUCAACCCUCGGAUGCCGGUGGAUACUGUCGGGCUUGAGUACGGAAGAGGCGAGUGGAAUUCCUGGUGUAGCGGUGAAAUGCGCAGAUAUCGGGAGGAACACCAAUGGCGAAGGCAGCUCGCUGGGACGGUACUGACGCUGAGGCGCGAAAGCGUGGGGAGCAAACAGG